AUUGAACGCUGGCGGCAUGCUCUACACAUGCAAGUCGAACGGUAACAGGUUAAGCUGACGAGUGGCGAACGGGUGAGUAAUGCAUCGGAACGUGCCCGGUCGUGGGGGAUAACGCAGCGAAAGCUGCGCUAAUACCGCAUACGAUCUAAGGAUGAAAGCGGGGGACCGUAAGGCCUCGCGCGAUCGGAGCGGCCGAUGUCAGAUUAGGUAGUUGGUGGGGUAAAGGCUCACCAAGCCAACGAUCUGUAGCUGGUCUGAGAGGACGACCAGCCAAACGGGGACGGAGACACGGCCCAGACUCCUACGGGAGGCAGCAGUGGGGAAUUUUGGACAAUGGGCGAAAGCCUGAUCCAGCAAUGCCGCGUGCAGGAAGAAGGCCUUCGGGUUGUAAACUGCUUUUGUACGGAGCGAAAAGGUCUCCUCUAAUACAGGGGGCUCAUGACGGUACCGUAAGAAUAAGCACCGGCUAACUACGUGCCAGCUGCCGCCGUAA
rnacentral:rRNA from 1 species